UACGGGGGGGGCAAGCGUUGUUCGGAAUUACUGGGCGUAAAGGGCGCGUAGGCGGCCUUCUAAGUCGGACGUGAAAUCCCUCGGCUUAACCGAGGAACUGCGUCCGAUACUGAAAGGCUUGAAUCCGGGAGAGGGAUGUGGAAUUCCAGGUGUAGCGGUGAAAUGCGUAGAUAUCGGGAGGAACACCAGUGGCGAAGGCGACUACCUGGCCUGUUUCUUGACGCUGAGGCGCGAAAGCUAGGGGAGCAAACGGG
rnacentral:rRNA from 1 species